rnacentral:sRNA from 1 species
UGCUAAGUGCAGUUUUUCUUUAUCCUG